CGUAACAAGGUCUCCGUAGGUGAACCUGCGGAGGGAUCAUUACACAAAUAUGAAGGCGGGCUGGAACCUCUCGGGGUUACAGCCUUGCUGAAUUAUUCACCCUUGUCUUUUGCGUACUUCUUGUUUCCUUGGUGGGUUCGCCCACCACUAGGACAAACAUAAACCUUUUGUAAUUGCAAUCAGCGUCAGUAACAAAUUAAUAAUUACAACUUUCAACAACGGAUCUCUUGGUUCUGGCAUCGAUGAAGAACGCAGCGAAAUGCGAUAAGUAGUGUGAAUUGCAGAAUUCAGUGAAUCAUCAAAUCUUUGAACGCACAUUGCGCCCUUUGGUAUUCCAAAGGGCAUGCCUGUUCGAGCGUCAUUUGUACCCUCAAGCUUUGCUUGGUGUUGGGCGUCUUGUCUCUAGCUUUGCUGGAGACUCGCCUUAAAGUAAUUGGCAGCCGGCCUACUGGUUUCGGAGCGCAGCACAAGUCGCACUCUCUAUCAGCAAAGGUCUAGCAUCCAUUAAGCCUUUUUUUCAACUUUUGACCUCGGGUCAGGUAGGGAUACCCGCUGAACUUAAGCAUAUCA
rnacentral:rRNA from 1 species